rnacentral:lncRNA from 1 species
AUUACAAAUAACACUGUUAAUGCAUGCAAAUGAUACUUUUGAAUGUAACCAAGAAGGGCCCGAGGUUUUUUUUUUUUAAAAUUGAUAAUUAAAAAAUUUAAAACUGAAUCGGGCCAAACCGACUGGACCGGACUAGUACAGAACAAGCGGCACAAGCAAUAGAAAUGCGCUGAAAAUUGUUAUGGUGCUAGGCCUUGAACCAGUGACCCCGCA